UACAGAGGGGGCAAGCGUUAUUCGGAAUUAUUGGGCGUAAAGGGCGCGUAGGCGGCCUUGCAAGUGGAAGGUGAAAUCCCUCGGCUUAACCGAGGAACUGCCUUCCAGACUGCUAGGCUUGAGACCGGGAGAGGUGAGUGGAAUUCCCGAGUAGCGGUGAAAUGCGUAGAUAUUGGGAGGAACACCAGUGGCGAAGGCGGACUCA
rnacentral:rRNA from 1 species